GUCUUCGAUCUGUUGCGGGCAGAUAAAGUGGAUGUGGCUGUCGAAACCGCCUGCCGUCAGGAUCUUGCCCUCACCCGCGAUGGCCUCAGUGCCCGGCCCAACGAUGAUGUUCACGCCGGGCUGGGUGUCGGGGUUGCCCGCCUUGCCAAUCUUGGCAAUGCGCCCGUUCUUCAGGCCCACAUCCGCCUUAUAGAUGCCGGUAUGGUCAACGAUCAGCGCGUUGGUGAUGACGGUAUCCACCGCCCCUUGCGCACGCGUGGCCUGCGAUUGGCCCAUCCCGUCGCGGAU
rnacentral:sRNA from 1 species